GGAUUGGUGGAAGAGGCAGGGCAGGCCAGGAACAAGCGUCACCUCCCUCUCGCCUUCUACUACACAACGCGCAUGCGCAUAUAUCGUGGGUUGGAGAAGAAGACGCUUGUUGUUGGUGGUAGUUUUUCAUACAAGUGCCAUUUUGUCUACAUGUCGAGAGCGCCGUGAUUGGAUUUUGUGUGUGGGUAUUGGAGCCAAUCAGAGAAACCGGGCGGCGGACAAACGCAGUAGACUGAAUUGAGGCCUUUCAGAGUUCAUUGACCAUGGAGCAGUACACUACCGCCACCACAUCUACUGGGGAACAGAUAGUGGUUCAGACUGCCGCUGGGCAGAUCCAACAACAGGUGCAGGGGCAGCCUCUGAUGGUGCAGGUGAGCGGUGGUCAGCUCAUCACCUCGUCGGGCCAGCCCAUUAUGGUCAUGGGGGGGCAGGGAGGGCAGGGGCAGACCAUCAUGCAGGUGCCCAUGUCUGGAGCUCAGGGGCUCCAACAGAUCCAGCUGGUGCAGCCAGGUCAGAUCCAGCUCCAGGGGGGACAGACUCUACAGGUACAGGGUCAGCAAGGCCAGACCCAGCAGUUCAUCAUUCAGCAGCCCCAAACUGCUGUGACCGCAGGACAGAACCAGGGCCAGCAGCAGAUUACAUUACAGCCAGGGCAGCAAGUGGCUCAGACUGCAGACGGCCAGACCAUUGUGUACCAGCCAGUCAAUGCUGAUGGGUCCAUUCUACAGCAAGGUAUGAUUACCAUCCCUGCCUCUAGUCUGGCUGGUGCUCAGAUCGUUCAGGCAGGCAACAGCUCCAAUACAACAAACAGUAGUCAGGGUACAGUGACCGUCACACUGCCUGGCAACAUGGUCAACGCAGGUGGCAUGGUCAUGAUGGUUCCGGGUGGUGGUGGCAGUGUUCCCACCAUGCAGCGUAUCCCCCUGCCGGGGGCGGAGAUGCUGGAGGAGGAGCCUCUGUAUGUCAACGCUAAGCAGUACCACCGCAUCCUGAAGAGACGGCAGGCCCGCGCCAAGCUGGAGGCAGAGGGAAAGAUCCCCAAGGAGAGGAGGAAAUACCUGCACGAGUCUCGUCACAAGCACGCCAUGGCAAGGAAGAGGGGUGAUGGCGGACGCUUUUUCUCGCCGAAGGAGAGGGAGGAGAUGGCUCUGGCCAUGCAGGUGAGGAGGGCUCAGGGUGCCCUCAAACAAGAGGACGUGUUUGGAGGUGUUGAACUCAACUCUAAUUGGCAACCUACUUCUGUUGCCUCCCUCAGCUAACCAACAAGUAGCAGCCAUUUCCACCCCUCACUCUGUCACAUGUCCACCGCAGCCACUCAUUUCCCCUGCACUCUUAAAAUGGUCAUCAUUGCUAUCUUUGUAUGUUUUUAUUAUAUUGGUUACCUUGUAGUUUUGUAUCAAAGAAUAGUAUAGUUUUUCACAAGUUAUGUUUUUUUUGUACUUGCUUGUUUUUUGAGUAUAUAGACGGGGGUGCUUUUAGAUGCGGGCAUAUUUUUUUGUGUACCUUCUGUUGUUCUUUUGAUGUAUUCCAGCCACUUGAUCCCUAACCAUGUCUCUGGCAAACCGCACUGAGUUCAAAAGCUCGUUCUUUCACAUAGAGCUCUACAUACUGAUCACAGGAGGCUGCUGAGGGGAGAACACCUCAUAAUAAUGUCCAGAACAGAAACGGAGCAGAUGGAAUGGCAUCAAACACCUGGAAACCAUGUGUUUUGAUGUAUUUGUUACCAUUCCAAUUAUUCUGCUCCGGUCAUUAUCACGAGCCCAUCCGCCCCAUUUAAGGUGCCACCAACCUCCUUUGAUACUGACUCAGUAAAAUGUUCUCCAAUGUCAUUUGAAAUGCGUCUUGGCUUUGUUUGAGCUCUUGUUGCAAGCUGAAGAAUGUUGGAAUGUUAAUGUUGCUGUUUUUGUCCAGUGUUGCUUCCUUGCUGUUGUGUUUCCUUGUUAAACUUGUACCAUGUUGUAGUGUAAACAUCUCUGCUAACACCUGUGUUCAUUUAACAGCUGCAGGGCUAGGAUGGGAGUGGUGUAAAGGUACAGGCGGCCCAACCACAUGCUAGAGAAGAGGCAGUCGGGCAGGUGAUCCGUGUUUCAUAACCUCUAGAAGACCUGUGAGGUGUGUGUGUGUGUGCUCAUGUGUUUGUCUCUGUGAGAAUGGUUGCGGAGGAGUUGAGAUCAGAUGUCCCACACAUCAAUCAACCAGUGCUUUCCAACCAGUCCCAAGCUGCCCAAGUCCCCUGUCUGGUAGAGAGCAGGACAGACUGGGUGAAGAGAUUGCUAGCACACAGAGAUACUGCACAUACAGAUAUACUGUAACCAUGGUAACACUGGAGAACAAUUGGGCCUUCUGGAGGAAAUGUAUUUUAAGAAACAGCACAAGUUCUACAAGAAAGUUUCCUCCAAAGCAACCUUGACUUGUUUCAUGUCAGUUACUUUUAUCUCUGGAUGUGCCACAAGAACUUGAUCAAUAAACACACCAUCCUAUAGGGCACAAGUCCAAAGUGGUUGUUAUGAUAGCCCUCUUCCUUUCCUGAUGCUCUUCAGAAAUAUGAAAUAGUUUUUCUUUUGUACAGAUAAGUUGUGUCCUCUGGUUCAUGAUAAUAUGUAACUAUCAUCACUUAUUUUAAGGCUUUUCAGACUUUAAAAAAAUGAUUUCCUGGUUAUUCUAUUUGAAAGGAGCAAUAAUCAAAUGCCUAAUUACCUGCAUCAGUUUUUUAUAUUGUGUUGUAACAGUCUUGUAAGAGUGUAGAUGCUUUUUUUAUUGCAUAAAUAAAAGGAAACAGCAUUAUCAAA